CCUCAUCGUCACCCUCAUCGUCAUACUAAUCCUAAUCCUCAUCGUCAUACUCAUCGUCACCCUCAUCCUCAUACUAAUCCUAAUCCACAUCCUCAUCCUAAUGCCUAAUCCUCAUCCUUAACCUCAUCCUCAUCCUACCCUCAUCCUCAUCCUAGUCCUAAUCCUCAUCCUAAUCCUAAUCAUAAUCCUCAUCCUCAUCCUCAUCCUAAUCCUAAUC
rnacentral:lncRNA from 1 species